CAUGGCAGUCGAUGAAAAUCUUCAGUAACUUGAAGUAAAAAACGUCAAACAAAAAAGAAUUUUAGUACAAAAUCUGCGGUUUUUUCAUUUUCAUAUGUCGACAAAUUUGUAAAAUGUUCAAAUCUAUCUCUAUUCUUGCGCUCUUUCUGAGCACUGUUGUAGUUGGACGAAAACAUGGCACGACAUCCCAGGAUGAAUACGUACAGUACUUGGAAGAGAAAAUCAGAGCACUGGAAAUCGAAAAUGCCGAGUUUCGUGAAAUCGCGGAAUUCUUUUACCCGCAGACACAAACCGAGCGAAAAGCUCAGACCGACAACAAGGGAAAAAUAAAUGAUCAUGUUCACAUGUAGAUAUCCCCGCAUAAUUUCGGAUUAGCCUCGCAGCGAGUUAUCAGUCCACCCUACCAUCACAUAUACCUAAGUAUAUUAUUAAUUGUUUGUAGCACAAUCCGAAAAAUGGAAAAUAUGAUGUAAAUCGAAUUUCAGCAUUCUCAUUUACUUCCCACUGAAAUUCCUUUCACAAUUUUUGCGAAAUUUAUAAAAUUACAAAUGCGGUUUACGGGUUCAUUUUCUAUGACAAAAAUUAUAAUUUUGAUCAAAUUAAUGUGCUUAGUUGAAAUGUGAAAUUGCUUUUAAAAAAAUCUGCCAUUUUGGGAACUUGAA